rnacentral:rRNA from 1 species
CCUACGGGGGGCUGCAGUGGGGAAUAUUGGACAAUGGGCGAAAGCCUGAUCCAGCCAUGCCGCGUGUGUGAAGAAGGCCUUCGGGUUGUAAAGCACUUUCAGUGGGGAAGAAAGCCUUGGGGCUAAUACCCUCGAGGAAGGACAUCACCCACAGAAGAAGCACCGGCUAACUCCGUGCCAGCAGCCGCGGUAAUACGGAGGGUGCGAGCGUUAAUCGGAAUUACUGGGCGUAAAGCGCGCGUAGGCGGUCUGAUAAGCCGGUUGUGAAAGCCCCGGGCUCAACCUGGGAACGGCAUCCGGAACUGUCAGGCUAGAGUGCAGUAGAGGAAGGUAGAAUUCCCGGUGUAGCGGUGAAAUGCGUAGAGAUCGGGAGGAAUACCAGUGGCGAAGGCGGCCUUCUGGACUGACACUGACGCUGAGGUGCGAAAGCGUGGGUAGCAAACAGGAUUAGAUACCCUUGUAGUC